rnacentral:rRNA from 1 species
UACGUAGGCGGUUACGUAAGCCCGGCGUGAAAUACUGGAGCUCAACUCCAGAACUGCGUUGGGAACUGCGAGACUUGAGUCAUGGAAGGGGAGUUGGAAUUCCAGGUGUAGGGGUGAAAUCUGUAGAUAUCUGGAAGAACACCGGUGGCGAAGGCGAACUCCUGGCCAAUGACUGACGCUGAGGUACGAAAGUGCGGGGAGCAAACA